rnacentral:rRNA from 1 species
UGGGGAAUAUUGGACAAUGGGGGCAACCCUGAUCCAGCCAUGCCGCGUGUGUGAAGAAGGCCUUUUGGUUGUAAAGCACUUUAAGCAGUGAAGAAGACUCCAUGGUUAAUACCCAUGGACGAUGACAUUAGCUGCAGAAUAAGCACCGGCUAACUCUGUGCCAGCAGCCGCGGUAAUACAGAGGGUGCAAGGGUUAAUCGGAAUUACUGGGCGUAAAGCGAGCGUAGGUGGCUUGAUAAGUCAGAUGUGAAAGCCCCGGGCUUAACCUGGGAACGGCAUCUGAUACUGUUAGGCUAGAGUAGGUGAGAGGAAGGUAGAAUUCCAGGUGUAGCGGUGAAAUGCGUAGAGAUCUGGAGGAAUACCGAUGGCGAAGGCAGCCUUCUGGCAUCAUACUGACACUGAGGUUCGAAAGCGUGGGUAGCAAACA